UUAAAAGUAUUGAAAUGGCAAAUUAAUGCAACAACAUGGAAAGAAUACCUAGAAAAAAAUACAGACAACUUGGCAUGGAAAAAUCACUGAAUAUAUCAAUAUGGAGAUUAUCAAGUAUAAAAACCAUACAUUAGGGCAAGAUGCCUUCACAAUAUAGUCCAGGAAAGACUCAUCAUCUUUAAGGUAUCCUGCUUGUGAGCCUGUGAUACAGGAACUUGUUGUUCAGUAUUACAAAACCCUUUGGGACUUUUUGAAUCCUCGGGGGCUGCUGUCUCUGUGAUGCCAUGGUUGCAAUGACUAUAUGCACGCAAAUGCAGAUGAGACAUCUCAGAACAGUAUAGGCUUCAAAAUUAAUGAUGCAGGAGAGAGAAGACAAGAUAAUGUGUCCUUUAGAAAUUAAUUAAAAUGCAUCACUCUGCCCUUU